UAAUCACUUUAAAAAGCAUAAAGACUAUAAUAGCUUCACUGCUUACUUUACAUGCACAAAUAAACCAUGCCUUGGAUGCUGGAUUGUUAAGAACAAUUUAUUUACUAUGUCCAAAGAGUGCACGAAUGCAAUCUGCCUUCAAAAAAAUUAUUUUUCUGUAGGAUGCCAAACUUCCAUUUCAUAUGCAAGUAUUGGGUGUCAAACUUAAAAUGAUAUUUAUGAAAACAGUCAAAUUUGCGAUGGGGGUGGGGAUUUCCCCUCCCCCCCUAUAUCAAUUAUAAAGCUAUUCAAGAUGAUAUUCCUAUUCUCACCCAAGAAGCUGUUGUCAGUGAAAACAAUUAUGCAUCAAUUCCAUGUAAAUAUAAUAUGAUUAAUACAUUUACUAUAUCAAUUAU